rnacentral:rRNA from 1 species
UUCCCAGACUCCUACGGGAGGCAGCAGUGGGGAAUAUUGGGCAAUGGGCGCAAGCCUGACCCAGCAACGCCGCGUGAAGGAAGGAGGCUUUCGGGUUGUAAACUUCUUUUCUCAGGGACGAAGAAAGUGACGGUACCUGAGGAAUAAGCCACGGCUAACUACGUGCCAGCAGCCGCGGUAAUACGUAGGGAGCAAGCGUUGUCCGGAAUUACUGGGCGUAAAGGGCGCGUAGGUGGGCGCUUAAGUCAGGUGUGAAAACUCCGGGCUCAACCUGGAGACUGCACUUGAAACUGGGUGUCUUGAGGGCAGGAGAGGAAAGUGGAAUUCCUAGUGUAGCGGUGAAAUACGUAGAUAUUAGGAGGAACACCAGUGGCGAAGGCGGCUUACUGGACUGUAACUGACGUUGAGGCUCGAAAGCGUGGGGAGCAAACAGGAUUAGAUACCCCUGUAG